UCCGUAGGGGGCUAGCGUUGUCCGGAAUCAUUGGGCGUAAAGCGCGUGUAGGCGGCCCGGUAAGUCCGCUGUGAAAGUCGGGGGCUCAACCCUCGGAUGCCGGUGGAUACUGUCGGGCUAGAGUACGGAAGAGGCGAGUGGAAUUCCUGGUGUAGCGGUGAAAUGCGCAGAUAUCAGGAGGAACACCAAUUGCGAAGGCAGCUCGCUGGGACGUUACUGACGCUGAGACGCGAAAGCGUGGGGAGCAAACAGG
rnacentral:rRNA from 1 species